rnacentral:rRNA from 1 species
UGGGGAAUAUUGGACAAUGGGCGCAAGCCUGAUCCAGCCAUGCCGCGCGUGUGAAGAAGGCCUUUUGGUUGUAAAGCACUUUAAGCGAGGAGGAGGCUACUUGGAUUAAUACUCUAGGAUAGUGGACGUUACUCGCAGAAUAAGCACCGGCUAACUCUGUGCCAGCAGCCGCGGUAAUACAGAGGGUGCGAGCGUUAAUCGGAUUUACUGGGCGUAAAGCGUGCGUAGGCGGCUUCUUAAGUCGGGUGUGAAAUCCCUGAGCUUAACUUAGGAAUUGCAUUCGAUACUGGGAAGCUAGAGUAUGGGAGAGGAUUGUAGAAUUCCAGGUGUAGCGGUGAAAUGCGUAGAGAUCUGGGGGAAUACCGAUGGCGAAGGCAGCCAUCUGGCCUAAUACUGGCGCUGAGGUACGAAAGCAUGGGGAGCAAACAGG